CCAAUAGCGUAUAUUAAAGUUGUUGCAGUUAAAAAGCUCGUAGUUGAAUUUCGGGAUUAGUAAGUUGGUCGUGCCUCUGGUAUGUACUGGCUUUACUGGUUCCUCCUUCUUGAAGAACUGUAAUGUCAUUAAUUUGGUGUUGCAGGGAAACAGGACUGUUACUUUGAAAAAAUUAGAGUGUUUAAAGCAGGCUAACGCUUGAAUACAUUAGCAUGGAAUAAUGAAAUAGGACGUUUGAUCCUAUUUUGUUGGUUUCUAGGAUUGACGUAAUGAUUAAUAGGGAUAGUUGGGGGCAUUAGUAUUCAAUUGUCAGAGGUGAAAUUCUUGGAUUUACUGAAGACUAACUACUGCGAAAGCAUUUGCCAAGGAUGUUUUCAUUAAUCAAGAACGAAAGUUAGGGGAUCGAAGACGAUCAGAUACCGUCGUAGUCUUAACCAUAAACUAUGCCGACUAGGGAUCGGAUGAUGUUAAUUUUUUAAUGACUCAUUCGGCGCCUUACG
rnacentral:rRNA from 1 species